rnacentral:rRNA from 1 species
AUUGAACGCUGGCGGAAUGCUUUUCACAUGCAAGUCGAACGGCAGCACGGGGGCAACCCUGGUGGCGAGUGGCGAACGGGUGAGUAAUACAUCGGAACGUGCCCAGUCGUGGGGGAUAACGUAGCGAAAGUUACGCUAAUACCGCAUACGAUCUACGGAUGAAAGCGGGGGACCGUAAGGCCUCGCGCGAUUGGAGCGGCCGAUGUCAGAUUAGGUAGUUGGUGAGGUAAAGGCGCACCAAGCCGACGAUCUGUAGCUGGUCUGAGAGGACGACCAGCCACACUGGGACUGAGACACGGCCCAGACUCCUACGGGAGGCAGCAGUGGGGAAUUUUGGACAAUGGGCGCAAGCCUGAUCCAGCCAUUCCGCGUGCAGGAUGAAGGCCCUCGGGUUGUAAACUGCUUUUGUACAGAACGAAAAGGUUUCUACUAAUACUAGGAGCUCAUGACGGUACUGUAAGAAUAAGCACCGGCUAACUACGUGCCAGCCGCCGCGGUAA